CGGAUUGUAGUCUGCAACCCGACUACAUGAAGCCGGAAUCGCUAGUAAUCGCGGAUCAGAAUGCCGCGGUGAAUACGUUCCCGGGUCUUGUACACACCGCCCGUCACACCAUGGGAGUCGGAAAUGCCCGAAGUCUGUGACCUAACCGUAAGGGAGGAGCAGCCGAAGGCAGGUCGGAUGACUGGGGUGAAGUCGUAACAAGGUACC
rnacentral:rRNA from 1 species